rnacentral:rRNA from 1 species
CUAAGUUUGAUGGCGACCGGCGCACGGGUGAGUAACACGUAUCCAACCUGCCGAUGACUCGGGGAUAGCCUUUCGAAAGAAAGAUUAAUACCCGAUGGCAUAGUUCUUCCGCAUGGUGGAACUAUUAAAGAAUUUCGGUCAUCGAUGGGGAUGCGUUCCAUUAGGUUGUUGGCGGGGUAACGGCCCACCAAGCCUUCGAUGGAUAGGGGUUCUGAGAGGAAGGUCCCCCACAUUGGAACUGAGACACGGUCCAAACUCCUAGGGAGGCAGCAUG